AUACGAAGGGUGCAAGCGUUAAUCGGAUUUAUUGGGCGUAAAGGGCGUGUAGGCGGAAAAGAUAGUCAAAUGUGAAAUCCCAAGGCUUAACCUUGGAACUGCAUUUGAAACUCCUUAUCUAGAGGGUAGACGGAGAAAGUGGAAUUCCACAUGUAGCGGUAAAAUGCGUAGAUAUGUGGAAGAAUACCGGUGGCGAAGGCGACUUUCUAGUUUAUUCCUGACGCUGAGGCGCGAAAGCAAGGGGAGCAAAACAGGAUUAGAUACCCUGGUAGUCCUUGCCGUAAACGAUGUAUACUUGGCGUAGCUGGUCUCAACCCCAGCUGUGCCGGAGCUAACGUGUUAAGUAUACCGCCUGAGGAGUACACUCGCAAGGGUGAAACUCAAAAAGAAUUGACGGGGGCUCACACAAGCAAGUGGAGCAUGUGGUUAAUUCGACGCAACGCGAAGAACCUUACCUAGACUUGAC
rnacentral:rRNA from 1 species